CGCAGCCGCGGUAAUUCCAGCUCCAAUAGCGUAUACUAAAGUUGUUGCAGUUAAAAAGCUCGUAGUUGAAUUUCGGGGUUAGUAGGUUGGUCAUGCCUCUGGUAUGUACUGGUCUCACUGAUUCCUCCUUCCUGAUGAGCCGUAAUGCCAUUAAUUUGGUGUUGCGGAGAAUCUGGACUGUUACUUUGAAAAAAUUAGAGUGUUUAAAGCAAGCUAACGCUUGAAUACAUUAGCAUGGAAUAAUGAAAUAGGACGUUCGAUCCUAUUUUGUUGGUUUCUAGGAUUGACGUAAUGAUUAAUAGGGAUAGUUGGGGGCAUUAGUAUUCAAUUGUCAGAGGUGAAAUUCUUGGAUUUAUUGAAGACUAACUACUGCGAAAGCAUUUUGCCAAGGAUGUUUUCAUUAAUCAAGAACGAAAGUUAGGGGAUCGAAGACGAUCAGAUACCGUCGUAGUCUUAACCAUAAACUAUGCCGACUAGGGAUCGGAUGAUGUUAAUUUUUUCAAUGACUCAUUCGGCGCCU
rnacentral:misc_RNA from 1 species